GAGCCUUAAACACAAAGAUUCCUUCUUCCGUAUCAGCUCAACUCUGGACAGGCGGUGGAAACUACCAAGCUGGAGUACGGUAGGAGCAGAGGGAAUUUCCGGUGGAGCGGUGAAAUGCGCAGAGAUCGGAAAGAACACCAACGGCGAAAGCACUCUGCUGGGCCGACACUGACACUGAGAGACGAAAGCUAGGGGAGCGAAUGGGAUUAGAUACUCCAGUAGUCCUACCCGUAAACGAUGGAUACUAGGCGCUGUGCGUAUCGACCCGUGCAGUGCUGUAGCUAACGCGUUAAGUAUCCC
rnacentral:ncRNA from 1 species